rnacentral:rRNA from 1 species
ACAGCAGUCGCCACGGUAAUACAGAGGGUGCAAGCGUUAAUCGGAAUUACUGGGCGUAAAGCGCGCGUAGGUGGUUUGUUAAGUUGGAUGUGAAAUCCCCGGGCUCAACCUGGGAACUGCAUCCAAAACUGGCAAGCUAGAGUAUGGUAGAGGGUGGUGGAAUUUCCUGUGUAGCGGUGAAAUGCGUAGAUAUAGGAAGGAACACCAGUGGCGAAGGCGACCACCUGGACUGAUACUGACACUGAGGUGCGAAAGCGUGGGGAGCAAACAGGAUUAGAGACCCCCGUAGUCCCUGUCUCUUAUAC